rnacentral:rRNA from 1 species
UGGGGAAUAUUGCGCAAUGGGGGAAACCCUGACGCAGCAACGCCGCGUGAAGGAAGAAGGCCUUCGGGUUGUAAACUUCUUUGAUGAGGGAAGAAAUAAUGACGGUACCUCAAAAACAAGCCACGGCUAACUACGUGCCAGCAGCCGCGGUAAUACGUAGGUGGCGAGCGUUGUCCGGAAUUACUGGGUGUAAAGGGCGUGUAGGCGGGAAUGUAAGUCAGAUGUGAAAUUCCGAGGCUCAACCUCGGCGCUGCAUCUGAAACUAUAUUUCUUGAGUGCCGGAGAGGAAAGCGGAAUUCCUAGUGUAGCGGUGAAAUGCGUAGAUAUUAGGAGGAACACCAGUGGCGAAGGCGGCUUUCUGGACGGGUAACUGACGCUGAGGCGCGAAAGCGUGGGGAGCGAAACAGGAUUAGAUACCCUGGUAGUCCACGCUGUAACGAUGGAUACUAGGUGUAGGGGGUAUGGACCCCCUCUCGUGCCGGAGUUAACACAA